GUGUCAGCAGCCGCGGUAAUACGAAGGGUGCAAGCGUUACUCGGAAUUACUGGGCGUAAAGGGUGCGUAGGUGGUUCGUUAAGUCUGAUGUGAAAGCCCUGGGCUCAACCUGGGAAUUGCAUUGGAUACUGGCGGGCUGGAGUGCGGUAGAGGGUAGUGGAAUUCCCGGUGUAGCAGUGAAAUGCGUAGAUAUCGGGAGGAACAUCCGUGGCGAAGGCGACUGCCUGGACCAGCACUGACACUGAGGCACGAAAGCGUGGGGAGCAAACAGGAUUAGAUACCCUGGUAGUCCACGCCCUAAACGAUGCGAACUGGAUGUUGGGUUCAAUCAGGAACUCAGUAUCGAAGCUAACGCGUUAAGUUCGCCGCCUGGGGAGUACGGUCGCAAGACUGAA
rnacentral:rRNA from 1 species